CACAAAUCUAGAGAGCUUAUCUGAGGUUCCCGGAGCUGUCUUGUCCAGUCGUCUGAUAUCUCAAGUUAUGCAGGAAUGCACAUCCAACAAUUUCGCCUCCUAUUUGAGAGGUGUCAACACAAUUUUAACCUCUAGAGCACGAAAAAUUCUUCCCAUUACACCAACGUUUGUACAAAAUUCAAAACCAAGAUGGUUUUGGUGAAAUGACCUUCGCGUAGCUGUCCACCAGGUAGAAAGAAGUACAUGUACUUCAAGAGUGGUUGUUAUGCAAUUUUGGAAAUUCUGGUACACUGGAUCUGGAAUUGGUCAAAGUCAAUCAAGUUGGAGGUUCACCGGGGAUUGUUCCAGGUACAAAUUGGCUUCCAGCUUCAUUCCUGUGGUGGGAAAUUUUACUGUGUAAAACAGUGGCUUGUGUCUAUAAUUGGCAUGAAGUUGUCUUAAUUAAAAAGGGAGAAAAUUUUUAUUACCAAUAUCUAAUGCAUUAUUGGGUAUUGUU